AGUUGCAAGGUAUAGACCCGAAACCCGGUGAUCUAGCCAUGGGCAGGUUGAAGGUUGGGUAACACUAACUGGAGGACCGAACCGACUAAUGUUGAAAAAUUAGCGGAUGACUUGUGGCUGGGGGUGAAAGGCCAAUCAAACCGGGAGAUAGCUGGUUCUCCCCGAAAUCUAUUUAGGUAGAGCCUUGAGGUGACACCUUUGGGGGUAGAGCACUGUUUCGGCUAGGGGUCCAUCCCGGAUUACCAACCCGAUGCAAACUACGAAUACCAAAGAGUGAUACUCAGGAGACACACGGCGGGUGCUAACGUCCGUCGUGGAGAGGGAAACAACCCAGACCGCCAGCUAAGGUCCCCAAGUCUAUAUUAAGUGGGAAACGAAGUGGGAAGGCUUAGACAGCUAGGAUGUUGGCUUAGAAGCAGCCAUCAUUUAAAGAAAGCGUAAUAGCUCACUAGUCGAGUCGGCCUGCGCGGAAGAUGUAACGGGGCUGAAAUAUAGCACCGAAGCUGCGGCAUCAGGCGUAUCACUAAUACGCCUUACGAUUAACAAGCUAGAAUGGCGCGAAGCGACAUGAAAGGUUGUUCAAGCAACCCGAACGUUGAGUCGGCACAUUUUUGAAGUAAGGAUUAUUAGUGAUACGCCUGUUGGGUAGGGGAGCGUUGUGUAAGCGGAAGAAGGUUCAUCGAGAGGUGGGCUGGACGUAUCACAAGUGCGAAUGCUGACAUAAGUAACGAUAAAACGGGUGAAAAACCCGUUCGCCGGAAGACCAAGGGUUCCUGUCCAACGUUAAUCGGGGCAGGGUGAGUCGGCUCCUAAGGCGAGGCUGAAAAGCGUAGUCGAUGGGAAACAGGUUAAUAUUCCUGUACUUGGUAAAGCUGCGAUGUGGGGACGGAGUAGGUUAGGUUAUCGCACUGUUGGAUAUGUGCGUUUAAGUUGGUAGGUGGGAAGUUUAGGCAAAUCCGGACUUCCUUAACACAGAGAGAUGAUGACGAGGCUCUACGGAGCUGAAGUAACUGAUACCACACUUCCAGGAAAAGCCACUAAGCGAAAGGCUUUACUAAACCGUACUGAAAACCGACACAGGUGGUCAGGUAGAGAAUACUCAGGCGCUUGAGAGAACUCGGGUGAAGGAACUAGGCAAAAUAGCACCGUAACUUCGGGAGAAGGUGCGC
rnacentral:rRNA from 1 species